AGAGUUUGAUCMUGGCUCAGAACGAACGCUGGCGGCGUGCUUAACACAUGCAAGUCGAACGCGAAAGGGACUUCGGUCCCGAGUAGAGUGGCGCACGGGUGAGUAACGCGUAAGUAAUCUACCCCUGUAUCUGGAAUAACCCACCGAAAGGUGAGCUAAUACCGGAUACGUUUAUCUUGAUGCGAAUGAUGAUAAAGAAAGGUGGCCUCUUCAUGAAAGCUACCGUACAGGGACGAGCUUGCGUACCAUUAGCUGGUUGGUAGGGUAAUGGCCUACCAAGGCGACGAUGGUUAGCGGGUCUGAGAGGAUGAUCCGCCACACUGGAACUGAAACACGGACCAGACUCCUACGGGAGGCAGCAGUGAGGAAUAUUGCGCAAUGGGGGCAACCCUGACGCAGCGACGCCGCGUGGACGAUGAAGGCCCUUGGGUCGUAAAAUCCUGUCAGAUGGAAAGAAAUGUACAGGUGUUAAUAUCGCCUGUAUUUGACGGUACCAUCAAAGGAAGCACCGGCUAACUCCGUGCCAGCMGCCGCGGUAAU
rnacentral:rRNA from 1 species